AGCUCCAUAAAGCCUGCUGCCCUCCUCAAUGCUUGAGAAACACUUCAGCAUCCAUUACAGGAAAAAACAUGAAACAAAAACAUGCUAUAGGAGGAAGGAAUGGCUUAUGCAAAGAAACAAAAGCCUUGUAUUUCAGGCUGUAAAAGCGGAAGUUCAGACAGUGUAAACUGUAGAUGACGUUUACUGAUUAAUCACACAGUCACAGAACUCUUAAGACUGGAGGGGACAUCUGGAGGUCACCCUGUCCAAACCCCGACUCUCACUGUAAAGAAGAAUUUUUUUCUUUCUUAUCUGAUCUUGGAUGGUUUUCAUCUCUCAGCUGAAACUGAUGCCAGUGGAAUCUGGAUAUAGAAGAAUGUUUUAUAUUGAAAGGGAGAGAAAUCAUAGAAGAAAGAAGAGAACAAAGAAAAGGAAAAAAUGGAAAAGAAGACAAUAUGCAGCUGUAAGGAAUGAAUUGUCCCUCCUGGAGUUGCCUGCUUCUCUCUCUUGACUGCAAAGGAAGACUAGGGCAAUUUACCUUCAGAGAUGAAUGUUGGCCUCAGCUUCAAAGCAAAAUAUUUAAACAUGCAGUUCACUGGUAACUUUGUUGGUAUUACAUUAGACUGUACAGGUUCAGUGAAAAAGCAGAAAUGGAAUUCAGGUUUUUAAUUUUUUUUCAGUCUUUAGUAUACUGUUUUCUUUUUCUCAUCUCUUGAACUGCAACAGUGACAUCAGUUUUACUGAGAAGUUCCUGUCUUUGAUUACAAUUUAACUUUUGCUGUACUUGCUGUUCUUUCUUUUUUACCAUUUUAAGCAUUAUUAUUUCUAAUUUGUAAAAAAAUGACUGUUUCUGUGUUUUAAAAGUUACUGUAGUUAUCACUUAUGGUGAGAUAUUGCUACUGUGUGUUGACCAGUCUGAACUUAUUACUUUAUGAAAAUAUAUCUGAAGUAUUGGAGAGAUAGUGUCUGUGCAUUUUCAAAAGGCCUUUACUAUUGCUAUUUACAUGUUGAGUUUUAGUCAUGAUAUGAAGAAAAAGAAAGUACCUAUAAUUUUUACCCUUAUUGAAGAGCUGUUUAAAUUACCUUGGGCAAAAUGUCACUUUUCCUUUUAACCUCUCUUAGUUUUGCAGCUUCAUUUUAAUUUUUUUUACUUCACACGCAGUUCCUUGAUUAUUAUUUUUAACGGCUAAUUAACUGACAGCGCAUGACUUCUGGUUAUUCAUUUAAAUUAACUAAAGAGCAUGAAAUGCUUCAUGUAGGUUUGAUACAGGAAAAGAUUUUUCAGUUGGUAUGUUCUUAUCAAACUUCCUCUCAGUAAUAAAUAAGUGACUAAAUUACUUAUUCAUUUGUUUAUUUAUUUUUCAGUUUAAAUGCUAGAAUCUGUGAGGGUAUGCAAUUUUGUAAUAUGAAGAAAUAAGCACAGCUCUAAUACAAAUGAAAAAACAGUGAAUACCAUUUAUUUUUACAAUUUGUAAUUGGAAUUCACUAGGUGUUGACAGGGACAACAAAAGAGUCUACAUGCUGCAGAAUUCAUUUGGAUGUUUAGGUACAUUCUAAAGCAGCCACCCUUGGGUAUUACUGUGUAGAACUGAUAUAAAACACCAAAUUUAAUUCUUUUGUCUGUUUUAAUGCUCUCAUAUUAUGGUAAUUAGUUGACGGUUCAUUGGGAUAUAUUUAGAGUAGAUCUGUUAGCAUGCAUCUUUUUUCUUUGUAUCUUACCUUUGUUAUCUUAGUAAUGGUUUAUAUUGUGGCGAUUGUUAGAGAAAUCAUUAUGUCACCAUAUGACAUUCUGUUCUUAGGUCUUUGUCAGUUUAAGUUUUUCUUUAAAAUUUUUGAGUUAUAUUACGGUAUUAGAAGUCAUAAAAGGAUUAAGUUGUUGGAUUUUGAUAUUGGGUUUAUGAGUAGUAUACAUGUAUUUUAUCUGUCGAUGAAGGCCCUGGUUAUUUCCUCAUUUAUAUAUAUAAAUUAUUCCAUUCUUAGUGAUGGGUAACUUCAAUACCAACAAACAGGAAAGUUCCCAUACUCAUGUGUUUGGUAACUUAGGAGAUGGAACUGUCUUUCAGCCUCUUGUAAUACUACCAUUUAGACACUGUCUGAUCUAAAAAAAUAUGCUGAUUAAUUCACGGAUCUGAGUAUAAUGUUGGACUUAAAGGAAGCUGAGAAAUGAAUAAUUUGCUUUCUGCCAUUUUCAAAAUUCUAUUAGCAGUUCCCAAGUCUGUUUGAUUUUUAUACAAAUACUAUAAUUAAGUAGUAGUAAUAUUAAAUUUAGCUAUUUGAAAGUGAUUAAAAUCUUGAAUUAAAUUGCUAUGCAGCACAGAAUACAAUGAAUCACAGAUAUAAUAUGUUUAGAAAAAGACAAGCUGAUAUGUUCAGUCCUAGCCAAAGCUUAUGAAUGAUUGUGGAAAAACUACUGUGUAUAGAUAUAUUGAUCUAGCUAGAUAUAUGGACAAUUGUUUAAAUAGUAGAUUUUAAGUGAAAAUAUUCAAUCUUUUGUCUAGUUGAAGGUAAAGUAAGAUAUUUCUGUCCACCACUGUGCAAUUAUUACUUCUUUUAUAAUCUUGAAUUUGGAAAUCUGCAAAUUUAUGGGCAAAGGCAUUUGGCAGAGAAUGAAGCCAUAGUGAAGGAACCUACCUCUGCCAAAAUUCCUAGUUUUCUUACCUGUGCUACAUCUAGUUUCAGUCAUGUAAUUCUUUCAGUACAAUACUAUGAGCAGAGAGGAACAGUUAUGUCCCAGUGUAAUGAAACUCUUCUUCAGAUUUGCAGAUGCCAAUAUUAUACACCAUGGUGUUUCAGGGUUUUCUAUGGUUGCCUUCUUAUAUAUAUUUUCUGCAGAUUGAACAGACACAUCUAUUGAGCAAAACAUUUUGUUCCUCCAAGAUUUAUGAAUCAUCUGACACUCUUUAGUAAGGUCAUGCAUGGAUGUUGGCCAGCCAGGCUUUCUUCAAAAGGACAUGUGAUUGUUUUAGUGGUUCAAACCACCACUUCUAAAACUUAUGUUUAAUUGAACAAAGUAUGUGAAAUUCUUCAGUCAUCAAGUGUUUUUUCUAAAGCAGAAUCUCUUAUGAAAGUACCUUUGGAAGGAACAUGGCAGCAUGCUAACUUUUAAUAUCUAUUAUUAAAAACAUUUUAUUAACAAAAUAAUUAUUUUACUGAAGUCUUUAAGUACAUAAUUCUCUAUUUGUUAUAUUGGUAAGACUGAAUAAGGUGAAUGGGCAGAACCACUUGGAGGUACUGUUUUUUCUCUGUGUUAAAUGAAACUUCCAUCUUAUUUUCUUCCUCUGUCCUGUUGAAGUGGUGGAGAUAGUGGCUGGGUGGUGAUCUGGCAGCCAGACAAGGUCA